rnacentral:lncRNA from 1 species
GCGGGGCGCCUGGGCUCUGCAGGUUGUGCUUGUUUACCCGUGGAUUCUGGGCUUCCUCUAAUAAGAGACCGCCGAGUUGUGACUCACGCCUGGCAAGUCAGCCUCUUGGUUUAGCCUCGUACUGCGGCUACCUUCGGACGUUUUAGCCCUUCGGGCUGCCAGACAGACCGUCUCCUGUUCUCUACAGCGUGCAUCCUUGUGCGCUCCUUGUGGUGCCACCCCAGCCUCUCUCUUCCGCGGGUCCCUCUAGACCGAGAGACGCCAGCAGUGGCACCUCAGUCUGCAAGAGAGAAAUCCAAGAGGGCUGUUUGACGCCAGCUCCUCGUCUGCAUCGCUUUCCCCACAUGUUCCCUGACGGAGGCGACUGCUAGGGACAUGGGUCGCAAGGCUAGUUUCAUGCAACUGACAUUCCCUGAACACCCACUCUGUGCCCACACUGCACUGGAUCAUAAGCUACCCUCUUCUUGGACUAACGAUGUAAUGAGGCAAACAGAUCCGUUCAUAAUAUUUCCUCUGGAUUUUCUUAAGUGCUGCUGAAAUGUCAGGGGAGUGCCUAGGCGG